UACGGAGGGUGCGAGCGUUGUUCGGAAUCACUGGGCGUAAAGCGCAUGUAGGCGGUCUCCUAAGUCUGAUGUGAAAGCCCGGGGCUCACCCCCGGAAGUGCAUUGGAACCUGGUAGACUGGAGUCCCGGAGAGGAGGGUGGAAUUCCUGGUGUAGCGGUGAAAUGCGUAGAUAUCAGGAGGAACACCGGUGGCGAAGGCGGCCCUCUGGACGGUGACUGACGCUGAGACGCGAAAGCGUGGGGAGCAAACAGG
rnacentral:rRNA from 1 species